GAACGCUGGCGGCGUGCCUAAUACAUAGCAAGUUGAACGCACAAAGACACCAGAGCUUGCUCUACCGUUUUUGUUGAGUAGCGAACGGGUGAGUAACGCGUGGGUAACCUGCCUUAUAGCGGGGGAUAACUAUUGGAAACGAUAGCUAAUACCGCAUAACAACAGAGAUUGCAUAAUCUUUAUUUGAAAGUGCCAACUGGUACACUAUGAGAUGGACCCGCGUUGUAUUAGCUAGUUGGUAGUGUAAUGGACUACCAAGGCGAUGAUACAUAGCCGACCUGAGAGGGUGAUCGGCCACAUUGGGACUGAGACACGGCCCAAACUCCUACGGGAGGCAGCAGUAGGGAAUCUUCGGCAAUGGACGAAAGUCUGACCGAGCAACGCCGCGUGAGUGAAGAAGGUUUUCGGAUCGUAAAACUCUGUUGUUAGAGAAGAAUGUUGAUUAGAGUGGAAAAUUAAUCAAGUGACGGUAUCUAACCAGAAAGGGACGGCUAACUACGUG
rnacentral:rRNA from 1 species